rnacentral:lncRNA from 1 species
UUCAUUUGCUACUAAUAAACCUCUAGAAGCUCUUCUCAUUGUCUUUGAUGAGCCUGGCCAGACUAGGCUUUAGCUCAGUCCGAACUGCAUCUUGGAUACGUGAACUAUGUCUCUGUGCUCCUCUCAAGUUAUCUGUCCUUACUUCUACCCUCUGUAUGCCUCCUUUUAGCAUUUGACUUAGGCCAGGAACUACUCAUUCAUCCAUGUGGGUCUGCUGGCACUUUUGUCUGACUUCCUCUUUGUUGGGAUGAAAUUUUCUUGAAUUUGGAGAAGGUGAUCCUGAAUAUUAACCAGACUUCUUGGGCCCUUCUUCCCUCCAGGGCCUAAACCCACAGAAGAGCACGUUUUUGUCGCUGGCAGCUCUGGUGAGAGCUUGGCAUAAAAGGGCUGUAAGUCAUACACUAUGAAGAGAGGCUUGCUUUGUCUAAUUUGGAGAAAAGGAGGCCAAGAGGUGACCUCAUUGGUCUUUACAACUUCCAGAGGAAGGGAAAUGGAGAGAGGGUCACUGAUCUCUUCUCCCUGGAAACCACAUAUAGAAGACGAGUGAAAGGCACAAAGCUGUGCCAGGGAGGUUCAGACUGGACAUUAGUAAAAAUUUGUUUGCCAUGAGGGUGGUCAAACACUGGAAGAAGCUUCCUAGCAAGGUGGUUGAUGCCCACCUUGUGUGAAGACUGUCAGCAUUCAAGAGGUUUCUGUCUCUUAAGAGCUCUGACAGGCAGAACCAGGGAUGAAGAGCAGGAGGAAGCCAUGGGAAACCUCAGAAGAAGCUUCAGAGUCCAUAGCAGCCUGCUGAAUCCAGCAAAGGAGCAGUUUAUCUUCUCCAAGGUUCUCAGGACUAAGUGGACUGGAAGAGCUCUCCUUUCCGAGGUUAUAGUUCAUUUUGUUUCCCUUAACAU